UACAGAGGGUGCAAGCGUUGUUCGGAUUCAUUGGGCGUAAAGGGUGCGUAGGCGGCGCGGUAAGUCGGGUGUGAAAUCUCGGAGCUUAACUCCGAAACUGCAUUCGAUACUGCCGUGCUUGAGGACUGGAGAGGAGACUGGAAUUUACGGUGUAGCGGUGAAAUGCGUAGAUAUCGUAAGGAAGACCAGUGGCGAAGGCGGGUCUCUGGACAGUUACUGACGCUGAGGCACGAAGGCCAGGGGAGCAAACGGG
rnacentral:rRNA from 1 species